rnacentral:rRNA from 1 species
GACGAACGCUGGCGGCGUGCCUAAUACAUGCAAGUCGAACGAACUCUGGUAUUGAUUGGUGCUUGCAUCAUGAUUUACAUUUGAGUGAGUGGCGAACUGGUGAGUAACACGUGGGAAACCUGCCCAGAAGCGGGGGAUAACACCUGGAAACAGAUGCUAAUACCGCAUAACAACUUGGACCGCAUGGUCCGAGUUUGAAAGAUGGCUUCGGCUAUCACUUUUGGAUGGUCCCGCGGCGUAUUAGCUAGAUGGUGAGGUAACGGCUCACCAUGGCAAUGAUACGUAGCCGACCUGAGAGGGUAAUCGGCCACAUUGGGACUGAGACACGGCCCAAACUCCUACGGGAGGCAGCAGUAGGGAAUCUUCCACAAUGGACGAAAGUCUGAUGGAGCAACGCCGCGUGAGUGAAGAAGGGUUUCGGCUCGUAAAACUCUGUUGUUAAAGAAGAACAUAUCUGAGAGUAACUGUUCAGGUAUUGACGGUAUUUAACCAGAAAGCCACGGCUAACUACGUGCCAGCAGCCGCGGUAAUACGUAGGUGGCAAGCGUUGUCCGGAUUUAUUGGGCGUAAAGCGAGCGCAGGCGGUUUUUUAAGUCUGAUGUGAAAGCCUUCGGCUCAACCGAAGAAGUGCAUCGGAAACUGGGAAACUUGAGUGCAGAAGAGGACAGUGGGACUCCAUGUGUAGCGGUGAAAUGCGUAGAUAUAUGGAAGAACACCAGUGGCGAAGGCGGCUGUCUGGUCUGUAACUGACGCUGAGGCUUGAAAGUAUGGGUAGCAAACAGGAUUAGAUACCCUGGUAGUCCAUACCGUAAACGAUGAAUGCUAAGUGUUGGAGGGUUUCCACCCUUCAGUGCUGCAGCUAACGCAUUAAGCAUUCCGCCUGGGGAGUACGGCCGCAAGGCUGAAACUCAAAGGAAUUGACGGGGGCCCGCACAAGCGGUGGAGCAUGUGGUUUAAUUCGAAGCUACGCGAAGAACCUUACCAGGUCUUGACAUACUAUGCAAAUCUAAGAGAUUAGACGUUCCCUUCGGGGACAUGGAUACAGGUGGUGCAUGGUUGUCGUCAGCUCGUGUCGUGAGAUGUUGGGUUAAGUCCCGCAACGAGCGCAACCCUUAUUAUCAGUUGCCAGCAUUAAGUUGGGCACUCUGGUGAGACUGCCGGUGACAAACCGGAGGAAGGUGGGGAUGACGUCAAAUCAUCAUGCCCCUUAUGACCUGGGCUACACACGUGCUACAAUGGAUGGUACAACGAGUUGCGAACUCGCGAGAGUAAGCUAAUCUCUUAAAGCCAUUCUCAGUUCGGAUUGUAGGCUGCAACUCGCCUACAUGAAGUCGGAAUCGCUAGUAAUCGCGGAUCAGCAUGCCGCGGUGAAUACGUUCCCGGGCCUUGUACACACCGCCCGUCACACCAUGAGAGUUUGUAACACCCAAAGUCGGUGGGGUAACCUUUUAGGAACCAGCCGCCUAAGGUGGGACAGAUGGUUAGGGUG